rnacentral:rRNA from 1 species
GACGAACCGUGCGAACGUUUGUUCGGAAUCACUGGGCUUAAAGGGCGCGUAGGCGGGCUGUCAAGUCUGGGGUGAAAUCCCGCGGCUCAACCUGGAACUGCCUCAGAUACUGACGGUCUCGAGGGAGGUAGGGGCGAGCGGAACUGAUGGUGGAGCGGUGAAAUACGUUGAUAUCAUCAGGAACUCCGGUGGCGAAGGCGGCUCGCUGGACCUUUUCUGACGCUGAGGCGCGAAAGCUAGGGGAGCAAACGGG